AGGCAGAAUAUCCAACUGGAAAAUUCUAAAUGGAACAGCUGUACAAUAUGGUAGAUGCAUCAUAUUGCAACAGGAUCUGAGGAGGAGUGAUUUUCUGCAUUAGUGGUGACACAUCGGAAGGGCACUGUGUUACAACUGCCGGGGUUGGUGGGGAGGAGGUCUUUUAAAGUGCUGCCACUGUGACUGCCCAGAAGACAGCCUUAGAAAAAGCUUGCUUCAUGAAUUCAGAGAGCAUUCUUCUGGCAGCAAGACUGAAUAAAGAGCAGGAGCCACAAUCAUUUGGAGGGAUGAAGAGGGAGAAAUAGAGCAAUAUGGGGAGCUGAAGAAGGCUUCUUUUCCUAAAGGCUAAAGAAGAGUGUAAUUGUGAAAAACAUCAAAAAAUAAUAAUAAAAGGAUUCAAAAGAUUGUCAUAUCAAUCAACUGGCUUCAGUUAAAAAGAGGAGAAUUGGAUGUGGUGAGAACUGAAAAUAUGCUCAGGGGAAGAAGUG